rnacentral:rRNA from 1 species
UACAGAGGGGGCAAGCGUUGUUCGGAAUUACUGGGCGUAAAGGGCGCGUAGGCGGCCUUCUAAGUCGAACGUGAAAUCCCCGGGCUCAACCCGGGAACUGCGUCCGAUACUGGAAGGCUUGAAUCCGGGAGAGGGAUGCGGAAUUCCAGGUGUAGCGGUGAAAUGCGUAGAUAUCUGGAGGAACACCGGUGGCGAAGGCGGCAUCCUGGACCGGCAUUGACGCGUGACGGCGCGAAAGCCAGGGGAGCAAAGCGGG